rnacentral:rRNA from 1 species
UACGGGGGGGGCAAGCGUUGUUCGGAAUUACUGGGCGUAAAGGGCUCGUAGGCGGCCAACUAAGUCAGACGUGAAAUCCCCAGGCUCAACCUGGGAACUGCGUCUGAUACUGGAAGGCUUGAAUCCGGGAGAGGGAUGCGGAAUUCCAGGUGUAGCGGUGAAAUGCGUAGAGAUCAUGAGGAAGACCAGUGGCGAAGGCGGGUCUCUGGACAGUUCCUGACACUGAGACACGAAGGCCAGGGGAGCAAACGGG